UUGUUUCCACUGUGCCACAGCAGGAACUCUGUAUUUUUAUCUUUAGAGUGUUUGGGGACAACAUGGGUUGUGUUAUGUUAAACUUACUGAAUCUGCUUUUGAACACACAAUCUUUGCAGAUGAUAUUUCCCUACUAUAUUUAGACAUCUUGAAGUAUAUGAAAGAUAAAGUUGCAGUUGUCACUUGUGGCAUAUAUACAGGACAAAGGUGUGAGGUAUUCUUCUGAGGUAGAUAAGGAAACUAGCAUUCAAAGAAAAUUUAAAUUUAUUAAGGUGCUCAAACUUCUGCCUCUUUGCCGCUUUGACCUCAUUUUGGGGAGGCUUAACAGCUCAAGUGGCUUCCUCCUUUCAGAAGGCAGCUAGAAAGCAGGGUGUGAAAAGCAAUUUUGUAGUCUGGACAGAAAGGUACUCUGACUUAACUGAUUGGGAUUUGAAUUCAGGAUUGAUUUAACUCCUGCAAUAAGUUACUUUCAACCCCAGCUCGUUCCCUUUCUUUCCCCUAGAAGCCGACUUCCAGUCCUGCCAUGAUGGGCAGAAUUAUGCUUGGAGUUUGGAGAUAAGGACUUUUUGUCUACCCAGCUCGGCUUAGACGACCAAACUCAUUUCCCAGAAGACUUGAGUUUGAAUCCAGUUAGGAUCCCAGAGACCGUGGGAGCCAGGAGAACUGGUGAAACUACAUGGAGUGGCCAAGGAAAACAUCUCUGAAGGUUGGAUCAGCAGUUAGAAUUCUUCCCUCACAGUCUGGGCUAUUUUCCACCCCCUUGGACAUCUUCAUUCUUUCCCACCUGACCAGCUCCCCCGAAUUUCUCUGCAGGUGGCUGAGAGGAUGCAGACCUUAUUUCCAGAACUGAAAUCAACAUGGUCCACAAACCACUCAGUAUUCAGGAACUCGCUAAGAGAUAACAAGAAAAAGUAAAACUCGUUCGAGAGGACGUGGUUUUUCCUGCCUCCCUCCUGUGGCAACAUGAAUAGCAACUCUGACUGGUAAACAGCAAACAAUCAGAUGGCGAUUCUAGAGAGUGCUACGUCCAGCGGAGAAGAUUUCAAGCACCACGUGCGAGAGCCAGAGCCUGCAAACUGUGGCCUGCAGGCAAAUCCAGGCCAUGGCCUGUGUUUAUGAGGCCCACGAGCUAAGAGUGGUUUUUACAUUCAAACCUCAAUCAAGUGAACCAUCAUCCUUCCACAAAAGAAUUCC